GGACCGGUAGCUCAGCCGGAUAGAGCAUCUGCCUUCUAAGCAGAGGGUCGCAGGUUCGAGUCCUGCCCGGUUCACCA
rnacentral:tRNA from 1 species